CCUAUUUCCUGUACAUCUCUCUGACACACACACACACACCUUUUCUCUACACACUCUCUCACACACACAUUCACUCUCUCUACACACACUUUCUCCAUCUCACACUCUCUAUGUACACACUUCCUGUCUGAUAAAUAACUGUGUCAGGAAUAUCACCUAUCAUGGUGGGCUACUGUCCCAUCUGUGGGAAACCCGUCUACUUUGAGAAAAGGACCACGAGCUGAAAACUUUCCACUCAAUUGAACCAAUCGCUGCUCGUAUGUCCUUUCAUGGUAAAGUACAUCGAGUCAUGAACACGGAAAUACGCAGCAAAGACCUUGUUACUCAAAGACCCAGCUACUCUCUGACAGUCACCAUCAGACCAUCAGACCACCAGAUGGACAGGCUGUGUGUUUCUCUGAUUGCAUUCUUAUGUGCUGUUUCCGCCAGUCAGGAUGGGAUCUCUGCAGCAGAGGUGGAGCUGAGAGUCAGACCAGGAGACAGUGGUCAAUCAAUAAUUCAAACCUUCAUUCCAAUACUCUUGUAAACUAAUGUAGAACAUGUUAAAUUGACAAAUCAAUAUCAGAUGUAUUCUUUUUUUUGUGUUUUAAUGGUGAUAACUCUUCCUCUGCAGCUGCAACUGAGACCACGACCAGGGGAAGUGAGAGAAAGGAGAAAGUAUAGUCAGAUUGAGAUUUGUAGUUUUUUGACUGGCGGCCAUCUUGCUUUGUAGUCCAUGUUAUUUGUAAACCAGUACUAUUCAAAGCAUUAGCGAGUAUACUCAUUAAAAACUAAAGGAAUAAGCAUCAUGAUAUGAUUAAUUUAAAGAAAUAACCACAAUGUACGACUAUAUAUCAG
rnacentral:lncRNA from 1 species